rnacentral:rRNA from 1 species
UAGGGAAUAUUACUCAAUGGGCGAAAGCCUGAAGCAGCAACGCCGCGUGGAGGAUGACACUUUUCGGAGCGUAAACUCCUGUUGUUGGGGAAGAUAAUGACGGUACCCAACAAGGAAGUGACGGCUAACUACGUGCCAGCAGCCGCGGUAAAACGUAGGUCACAAGCGUUGUCCGGAAUUACUGGGUGUAAAGGGAGCGCAGGCGGGGAGACAAGUUGGAAGUGAAAUCUAUGGGCUCAACCCAUAAACUGCUUUCAAAACUGUUUUUCUUGAGUAGUGCAGAGGUAGGCGGAAUUCCCGGUGUAGCGGUGGAAUGCGUAGAUAUCGGGAGGAACACCAGUGGCGAAGGCGGCCUACUGGGCACCAACUGACGCUGAGGCUCGAAAGUGUGGGUAGCAAACAGGAUUAGAUACCCUGGUAGU